UACGGGGGGGGCAAGCGUUGUUCGGAAUUACUGGGCGUAAAGGGCGCGUAGGCGGUUCGCUAAGUUGGAUGUGAAAACUCUGGGCUUAACCCAGAGCCUGCAUCCAAAACUGGCGAACUGGAGUACUGGAGGGGAAAGCGGAAUUCCUGGUGUAGCGGUGAAAUGCGUAGAUAUCAGGAGGAACACCGGUGGCGAAGGCGCUUUCUGGACAGUAACUGACACUGAGGAGCGAAAGCGUGGGGAGCGAACAGG
rnacentral:rRNA from 1 species